GCUGUGACGACGAACCAGCCAAUCUGUUUACUGAACUGCUGACCCCUUCCGGGAACUCGGCCCAAGCUUCCCAGAACUCGGGUAUCAAUGACCCGGAGCCACAUGACGGAGCAUGACACAGCACUUUUGGGCACAAGGCAGGGCCCAGAGGGGUGCGUAGGGGGCCGCAGCCCAGCCCCCAAGCCCGGCCAGCGGGUGACAGAUGGCUGAUGGUGUGGGUAGCUGUGGCCUGACAUGUCACUUUUGCUCUCAAACUGAGACAGCAGGGGGACGCGGUGGCCACGAGGCACAGUAUCUGGUGUAUGUGUAAGAAAGAGCCACAGCGCCCUGGGGAGGGGCCAGAGUCUCAGCCCGCACUGCCGUGGUCCCAAUGGGUCUCCCAAAGAUCAUGUGGGCUGCUAAGAGGUGACCGGGUCAUGAGGACUCUGCGCUGAUGAAUGGAUUCGUGUCAGUAACGCAGGAGUGGUUUCGUGAUGGACAGAGUGGAUUUGUCACGUAAGUGAGUUCAGCCAUGCCUUGCUGUCUCACAUGCCGCCUCUUGCCAUGAGAUGCCUUCGCCAGGGAACGACAGCAAGAAGGCCCUCUCUUGAGCGAGCCUCUCAAUCUUCAGCUCUCCGGUCUCCAGGACUGUUAGAAAUACAUCUCUUUUCUUCAAGGACUCA